rnacentral:tRNA from 1 species
GAGGAUAUAGCUCAGUGGCAGAGCAUGUGCUUAUUAGCAAGCACGAGGUCCUGGGUUCAAUCCCGAGCACCUCCA